ACAAAUGUCUCAAAUAAAUCCAAAAAUCAGUUUCAGGACCUACUCGCCCAAUUUCAGAAAUCCGACACAGCAGUUUCGCUGUGCUUUGGCGGCGGCGGUCUGCCUCGGGUCAUCGUUUUCAGUCAAUUUUAUAUCGAUUCCUGAGAGCACACACGCUAAAGGGCCUCGGUGGGUCAAAAAAAUAUGAAAACCCGAAACUCACCGGUGGGGAGGGCUCUCCGGUGCGGGGGCUCCUCCGGUUCACGUUGCGGUUAAGUGUUUCGCUUCGGUCAACCUGUAGAGGAGAAAACGGU
rnacentral:lncRNA from 1 species